rnacentral:rRNA from 1 species
CGGUGUUUAACUGGCGUGAUGUGGGACGUCCUACCGGUGGGCUUAGCCUCGCGAGGGGCGGCCCAACUAAUAUCCCGUCGCGGUGCUCUUUACUGAGUGUCGAGUCGGGCCGGUACGUUUACUUUGAACAAAUUAGAGUGCUUAAAGCAGGGCUAUCCUCGCCUGAAUACUGCGUGCAUGGAAUAAUGGAAUAGGACCUCGGUUCUAUUUUGUUGGGUUUUCGGAACCCCGAGGUAAUGAUUAAUAGGGACAGAUGGGGGCAUUCGUAUUGCGACGUUAGAGGUGAAAUUCUUGGAUCGUCGCAAGACGGACAGAAGCGAAAGCAUUUGCCAAAAAUGUUUUCAUUAAUCAAGAACGAAAGUUAGAGGUUCGAAGGCGAUCAGAUACCGCCCUAGUUCUAACCAUAAACGAUGCCAGCUAGCGAUCCGCCGAAGUUCCUCCGAUGACUCGGCGGGCAGCUUCCGGGAAACCAAAGCUUUUGGGUUCCGGGGGAAGUAUGGUUGCAAAGCUGAAACUUAAAGGAAUUGACGGAAGGGCACCACCAGGAGUGGAGCCUGCGGCUUAAUUUGACUCAACACGGGAAACCUCACCAGGCCCAGACACCGGAAGGAUUGACAGAUUGAUAGCUCUUUCUUGAUUCGGUGGGUGGUGGUGCAUGGCCGUUCUUAGUUGGUGGAGCGAUUUGUCUGGUUAAUUCCGAUAACGAACGAGACUCUAGCCUGCUAAAUAGGCGUACCUUAUGGUAUCGCGAAGGCCCCCGGCUUCGGCCGGUGGGUUUUUACUACCAACGUACAAACAAAUCUUCUUAGAGGGACAGGCGG